rnacentral:miRNA from 1 species
ACAAGCUUUCGGGAGAACCUCCCUUUCUCAAGUCUGAAGCAUUUCAAAUGCUUCAGACUUGAGAAAGGGAGGUUCUCCCGAAAGCUUG